rnacentral:rRNA from 1 species
GACGAACGCUGGCGGCGUGCUUAACACAUGCAAGUCGAACGGAAAGGCCCUGCUUUUGUGGGGUGCUCGAGUGGCGAACGGGUGAGUAACACGUGAGUAACCUGCCCUUGACUUUGGGAUAACUUCAGGAAACUGGGGCUAAUACCGGAUAGGAGCUCCUGCUGCAUGGUGUGGGUUGGAAAGUUUCGGCGGUUGGGGAUGGACUCGCGGCUUAUCAGCUUGUUGGUGGGGUAGUGGCUUACCAAGGCUUUGACGGGUAGCCGGCCUGAGAGGGUGACCGGCCACAUUGGGACUGAGAUACGGCCCAGACGGCUACGGGAGGCAGAAGUGGGGAAUAUUGCGAAAUGGGCGGAAGCCUGAUGCAGCAACGCCGCGUGCGGGAUGACGGCCUUCGGGGUGUAAACCGCUUUCGCCUGUGACGAAGAGUGAGUGACGGUAAUGGGUAAAGAGGCAACGGCUAACUACGUG